rnacentral:lncRNA from 1 species
AUUUGAGAUAUUUUGGUCUAAAGUUUGGAAUUCACUUUAAAUCCCCCAACAUUGACACUUUAGUAAAGAAGUUUGUGAAUUGUCUUUGUUUCUCCAACCUUGACAUAAUAAAGUGGUAAUGUAUGCGCCCUCUUUUUUUAAAACAGACGAUGCAGUCACAGGAAGCCCCUGGAGUCCAGUAUAGUCGGUGGAAUGACCAAAACCAAGAUGAAGUGAGUGUGACCACAUCUUCCUCUGAGGCCCCAACAUGGAGAAGGUAAAGUUACCGAGCAAAGGCUUGAUUUAAUUAUGAAAUCAAAGAUAUUUUAAAUAGUUCCUGUUUGUUUGUUUGUUUGUUUGUUUAUAGAAAAUCACAGCAAUAGCUCUACCUGCACCUAUCAGAGAACAGAAAGCAUAAAUGGCAAUUUGUACAUUUGAAUAAAUUAUUAUGCAAAAUACAGAUUAAGGAGCAGUGCUGAAUCUGUAUCUUGUGUAAAUUAUGGUCUUUACAGCAAUACCACUGUUGAGAAAUGUAUAUUCCGGGUGUGCCCUAAAUUCCCCUUUGUUCUUUGUGUUAUUAUACUCCGAGCAGGACAGACCACAGACCAACCUGAAAAGGAAACUUUAGUCACCUAAACAACUUUAGCUUAAUGAAGCAAUUCUGGUGUAUAGAUCUCUACAGUCUCACUGAUCAAUUCUCUGCUAUUUACGAAUUAAAUCACUUUGUUCAUCCAGACCUGUUCACACGUCCAUGUUUCUGACUUACACAGUCUUCCUAAACACUUCCUGUAAAGAGUCAUCUAAUGUUUAUUCUUCCUUUAUUGUAAAUUCUGUUUCAUUUAGAAUUUCUUAUCCCCUGCUCUGUUAAUAAUUUGCCAGACCCAGCAGGAGCCUCCUGUGUGUGAUUAAAGUUCAAUUUACAGAGCAGGAGAUAAAAGAACUUAAACUAAGUUACAUCUGAUGAAAUGAAGCCGUUUUUUGUCAUUCAGGCUGUGUCAGUCACAGCCAGGGGAGGUGUGACUGGGGCUGCAUAAACAGAAACAAAAGUGAUUUAACUCCUAAAUGGCAGUGAAUUGAGCAGUGAAACUUCAGAGGCAUGAUCUAUACACAAAAACUGCUUCAUUAAGCUAAAGUUGUUUUGGUGACUAUAGUGUCCCUUUAAAAUACCAGAAGUGUCUAGAGUGCUAAACAAUAUUACCGACUUAAAACAAGCAAACAAAUUUGAAUGCUGCACAAACUAAAAGUUUAUAAAACAAGGUGACAAGUUCAACUCAUUAUUUUUGUUUUAUUUUUAGGGUCUGGAACAUGCUGUGUACGGGCAAGAUUGGCAUUGUAGUGAAAGUGAUAGGGGGAUUGGCAUUCUUUUGGAUUGUUUUUAUCAUUGGAUAUGUCACCGGUUACUAUGUCCAUAAAUGCAAACAGCAGUGACAUGCCUAUCAGAUUUUUUUUGUAUGAACUAUUUCCUCAAACUGAAAGCCCUGGACUAUCACAGAAGAAUGAAACUUCUAAUAAGGAAACUCUUAUGGAACAACAACCUGCAGAACAACUAGAAACAAUAUAAAGGGUGGAACAGAAAAGAAAACCACAGAUACUUUAUAAAUUCAAAUACAUGUGAAUGUCAAUCAAUGUAAGAUGACUCCAACAUAAUAUUCAGACUAUUACACAUAAAACCAGGCGUGUUUUGUACAUAACAAGUGUUAUGAAACUACAGAUUGAUAUUGAUAUUCUGUUUGUCAAAUGGUACAUGUUUCCAAUUCUAUCAUUUAAUGUAUUUUAAAUCAAAUUUCUCAGAAUUUGAUACAUGAAUUGAUCUUGAUAACUAGGGACUUUAAUGACAAUUUAAAGUCAAAAUCAUAAAUUUGGUAGGCAAAUGUUGACAUCAAAAAUAUUUCAUUGGGGAACGGUAAGAAUGACUGAAUUAAAAUAAAACUUAUGAGUUAAUAAUUAAGUAAAAAUCUAUGCAUAUAGAUUAAUAAUAAUAAUAUAAUAAAGAUAUGCGGCCCACAAACAAUAGACUAAAAAGAGUUAUUUUUAUUUAAAAUGUAUUCGUAAACAAAAAGAGAAAUUAUAAUAAUAUAUAGCAUACAUAGUGAAUACAAUAAGAUAUAUAAUAGCAAAUAAACAUUCUCCCUACGCUUUAUAUUGUAUAAGAUUUAUUGAUGUUUAACUCUUUAAGAAUGACCUGCAAAAUAGAUCCAGAUCUGAAAUCCUACUGAUAUUUCAGUGGAAAUGUUCUUUGUUAAAAGGUUUUUUUGGGGAAAGACUUAUUGACGUCACAUUCAAAAUAGAGCAUGGUGGGGUGGAGUCGUGCACCUGUGCAGUGAAGUCAGAAAUGGUGGUGGAAAAUGUGGAGUGAUAACAGACAGACCUAUAAAUUCAUUGAAAACAGGAAAACGAAUCAGCCUCUAAGAAAGUCUGAUGUAGUGAAUGAAACAUAAAGUUUUUAAGCAAGGCUACAAACAAGUCGACAUGUGGAAGAGGUUCCUUGUGGGUGCCCAUUUGCCUUGACCACAAACAUCUAGAGAAAUCCAGAGGAACUUUAAAAGGACAUAGUGUCUUCAGUGGAUUCGAGAUGUAUAAACGAGGUGGAGUUUGGGUGGAACUACCGAGCAACUGUGACAACAGCUCUUUUGUGCAGUUAUGUUAUUUUGCAAGUUGCCUUGUCUGAAAAGGGUUUAUUAAAUUUGUAUGCUAAGUUGCGAUGAUAAAAUCUUUUUUUUUUUGUUUUAACUUACAUGUUUUUAUACAAACAAUUAGAUAACUAUUCACUCGGUGUAUACCAUAUGUAAUGUGUACAUACUACACUUUCCAAUCUAAUGCCCCUGUUUCCACUUAUAUUUGUGUUCUAUACACUAAUCAAAGAUGUGAGUAAGGGGGUGACAUUUGAAUCAUGUAUUACCUGGGCUUAUUUCAAUUUUAUAAAUUUUAAAUGCCUUGUUGUUCAUCAAUCGACAUGAAGGCAAAUUACGGUGUCAUGGAAAGAUCAUUGUAAAUUUGCAACAUGUGAUGCUGUGAUGCAUGGGUCAACGAAUCACCUGGAAUUUUUUUAUAAUGGUUCUAUCUAGAAUAUUGUUCUUUAGUUCAGUGAAACAGAAGUUGAAAUGUGCACUGCCAUGCAUGAAUGGUUUAUUAACCAUUAAGGACACUAGAGGGAAAUCAAGAUUCGAGACCACUUUGAUGCCCCUGAGCCUUCAUAGCUUGCCACCACCGAGGGAACAAUGAAUUCAAAAUCGUAUGUAAGAAAUUUUACACAAGUAUAAAAAUGUAGGAGCUGGUCAUGUGAAGCUUUGUAGACAGUAGGAGAGAUUUACCAAAGUGAAAAGUGAAGCAAAAUGGUAAAAGUGGAAUAGUCAUUAAUAAAAUACUGUGUUUCAAUCGAUUGCAUUGGUUUCCAUGGUGACCGCCUCACCUUUGGUACUUUGCCCCUACUUUACAGAGCACAGUACUUUGAUAAAUCUCUCCAGUGACUGAAAACACUGGAGUAAAUCAACAACAGAAUGGCUCUCACAGAAGAGUUAAGGGUCGGGACUUUUCACAAAAUAAUUGAAUUAACAUUACAUCCUCAGCUCCUGUGAGAGGAAGUUGACUGCUGUUCAUCAUUCUUGUACUCUCAUGUAUGGACAAGAGUACAAAACAGAGGUUUAUGGAAGAUCAUGUAACAGAUCUGCUCUUUCAUGGGCAAUGGGAUGUUAUUCUCAUCUAUUGAGCAUCUAAUGAGAUACUGGAGCUGAAGUUAAGAAAGUGCUACUAAGAAGGUUUCUUAAAGCCACAAAAUGCAUAUGCGUAACCCUCUAUCUGGUCCUCUACCUCUCCCUAUUUGCUGCUGUGUUGUACUUCAUUUAAACUAUAAGAG